AUUUUUUAAGCGCCUGAACCAAUAUGGUUGACGAGGUUUAGAGUUAUCGAAGUAUUCGGCGGAUGCUCUAAUGGCUUGACUUAGCCAAUAGUAUUUAUUAAAAAGCAGUAGUAAUAUUGUAACAGAGGUAAAUACA
rnacentral:ncRNA from 1 species